rnacentral:lncRNA from 10 species
AUCCUUGGUCUUAUAAAAACUUAGUGUUGUUUCCACUCAGUGAUUUGUCUAGAUCUUGCUUGGAGAAAAAUAAAAACUGGGUAAAAAACAGAGAUAGUUAAUAGACAUUAGUUUGAUUUUUGUCUGUUGGAGAAGGGAAAAGAACAAGGCCACUGAUUUCAAAUGUCUCUUCUGUAAAGGUCAUUUGCUCCCCCGUACUCUUAGUUCUAUUUCCGCUAACUUGGCUCUUGCACUAUCAUCCCUGUAGCCCCAGCUUUCCAUCCUGCCACUGCCUUCAGCUGCAAUUCUUUGUUUUUGCCCUACUCAUCACCUUGGAACCUACCUCCCAGGUCUCACCAGCUGCUGAUGGAUGUUUUCUGUCUCUGCUCAGUGCCUGAAAACUUAUUUCUCAGGGCAGUCGAUGAGGGAUCCUUAUCACAGUAUCUGGAGUCAUGCCCAUAAAGCUCUUUGGCAAAUCAUUGCACUGUGUUACCUGUGGGUACAUCCCCACAACCCGGCUAGUGUUGACCUCGUGGGGAGGGUAAUAAGCUUAGGGAUUAUUCCCAGUAUUGUGACUUAUGGAUUUCUUUCAUUUCUUCACUGGACUGAGCUACUAUCUCUCCAUUCUCUUCUUAUUAGGAGCUGUUUGUUAGUUCUAAUAACAACUAGAAAAACUGUGGUGAUUGUUAGUCCCAAGCUAUAAUCUGAGGAACAGUUAAGAGAGGUCAUAAAAUCAAAUAAGGUUAGACUGAGUGCCUUUAAAAAAAAUCUCAGUUGUUGCAGGGUUCUAAAAAUAGUUUCCAAUGCCAUCCUUCACCUUCACAAUUAUUUUUGUCUUCAGUUCUAAAUGUGAAAGGUACAGAGCAGCAAAUUUAUACAUUAACUUCAUAGGAGAACAGAAAGCUCAUUAAUUCUUAACAUUGGUGGGAUUUGAUGGUUCACCAUCAUAUGCUCUGUUCCGAAAUAUGUCUGGGUCCACUUUUCUGAGAUGAUUAAGAUGUCCUACUGACAACCUCAGGGCUAUUAAAAACACAGUGCCCUUCAUAUGUGAGAUAAGGUUACAGCUCCCACAAGGGAGGGUUUGGGCAACAUCAACGUUAAUCAUCUCAUGUUCAUUCAUUCACAAAUUCAUUUAUUCUAAUAUUUGAGACUCUCCUAUGUGGCAGGCAAAAGAAAAAGCCCUUGAUUUCAAUAUAGAUACAACACAAUGGAAAUAUUACAGAGAAAAAUAAAGCCAAGUCAAAGAGAGGUGUGUGUGGGGAGGGAUGUGAGGAAUGAUAUUUUAGAUCUGGUAGUUGGGGAGGCCUCUCUGGGAAGGUGGCAUUUAAGUGCAGGGACAAGCCAUGCAAAUAAACAUCUGGAGGUGAGAACAAAGGCCUUGAGAUGGAAGUGGCUCCUCUAGAGAACCAGGCAAGAGGUGAGGGCAGCUGAAUGUGGUGAGCAAGGAAGAGGAUGGGACAUGUGAGAGGGGUCAGGGCCAGCUCCAGGAGCCUGUAGGCCAUGGAAAGGCAUAGGAUUUUAUUCUCCGUGAAGCAAGUGCCUAGAGGUGGCUCCCAGACACAGGCAAGCUAGUGACCUCAAGGGGGCCUUGGUCCUGCUCCAUCUGAAGAGCUGAUUCAUUAGACUUUUGCAGUCCCUGAUCCCAGGAGCUACAACCUUAGAUUGCCAGGGAACUGGAAGCAUUUAAUUAGGGAUUCUGGGGAGAAGCUGUGGGUCCUGUGAUAAGGUCCCUGUGGCUGCAAGACCCACCCUCCUGGAGGUUUCAUGAUUCAGAUGAGCUGUUCUGGCACUCUGGGUCCACUAGAAGCUGAUGGGAUUUUUAACAGAAUGUUAUUCCCACUGUGCCACCAGCAGGUUUUUAUGGCCUCAUGUGACCAUUAACUGUUGCGUGGGGAUCAUAAUUCUAAGAGACCCCCCUGGAGACCAUAUGGUCUGUAUCUAUUUUCUUGAAUCCUAGAACCAUGCUGAGGUUUAGGAGGUUAGGUAACUUAACAAGGGCACAUGGUUAUUGAGUGAUGGCAGGAUUUCAUCUCUGAUCUAAUUGGCUGGUGAUAUGGUUUGGCUCUGUGUUCCCACCAGAAUCUCAUCUUGAAUUGUAAUCCCCAUAAUCCCCCAUGUGUUGAGGGUGGGACCUGGUGGGAGGCGAUUGGAUCAUGGGGUUGGUUUCCUCCAUGCUGUUCUCAUGAUAGUAACUUCUCACGAGAUCUGAUAAGGUUUCAUAAGAGGCCCUUCCCCCUUCACUUCCUUCACACGCUCUCGUCUGCUGCCAUGUUAAGACAUGCCUACUUCCCCUUCUGCCAUGAUUGUAAGCUUCCUGAGGCCUCCACAGCCAUGCAGAACUGUGAGUCAAUUAAACCUCUUUUGUUUAUAAAUUACCCAGUCUUGCGUAGUAUCUUUACAGCAGUGUGCAAAUGGACUGAUACAGCUGGAAAGCUUGUUUUCCCCGUUAUGCACCACACUAAUAUUUCCCAAAUACUUCCAUUCAUUCAUCAAAACAUUUAUUGAACAUCUGCUAUGUAUUCAGUGCUGGGCACACUACAGGGAUGCAGAGACAAAUGAGACAAUUCCUGCCCUCAAGUGUCUUGGAAUCAAGUGGGUUGUUUAGAAUAUACACUCUAUCUUCCAGGAUGAAGUGAGAUUAUAACACACAGCCCCACUUUUAGACUUUCUGAAUGGAGAUUUGUCUUAUCCUUAUAAAGGAACUUCGCCAGCUGCCAGGCAGGACAAUGAGGUACUUGUCCAUACCUGUCAUUGUGCAUCUGCCAUUGUCACGCAUGAAAAUCAUCCAUUGAUCCAUCUGUCCUCAGUUACCGUUGGCAUGUACUACCAUUCUGUGCAUUUCACUCACAUUUGGAUCCUUGUAACUCUCAAAGAGAUCACACUGCGAUUCAGGACUAAACUGAAAAGUCAUCAGUUGCCCAUCACACAGGAACAAUGCAGCUGAAGGCAGUGGGAAUUGCUAAGUCUCUGAGUGCUCACAGAAUUGUUAGGGCCAAGCGUAGGCCUGACUCAUGAAUGGCGGACUAUCAUUUAGGUGGAGAACAGAAGCUUCAGAUAAUCAGAAGCUUCCAGAUAAUUUUUUAGAGAUGUGAAACUUCCAGGAAUAUCUUAUUUGGUUGAGACAAUAGGAACUACCCAUUUAACCACAUAGGUAAAACUCCAGUAUCUUUUGACGUGCCUCCAAAUUAUCUUUACAAGUACCUAAGAGAUUAUUCUCACAUCAGAAUUCUGAUUGUUGCCGUCAGCAUACUUCCUAUAAUUUGUAAUUGUCUUUGUCCUUCACCCAAAAUGAGGUUAUCUUUUCAUUUGUUGUUUCCCCAGCACUGGCAAGAUGCCUGGAGCUGCGAAGGCCCUCGGUGAAUGCUGCAGGAUUGCAAGCAAGGGUUGGGGAGAGCAGCAUGCUUCUGAGAUUCUGUAGACCUAACCAUGGCCAAAAUGAUUUUGAACUGUCUUUAAUGUCUGGCAGGAGCUUAAUCUCAGAAGCUUCACUCUUAUUAUUUAAAAAGUGCUACAUAGUUGUAUAAACAUGAUACUACUCAGUUUUUAAAUACAGAAUUACAAACAUGUAAUGUGUUAUCUCAAAAAAAGUUUAUUUUUUUUUUUAGAUGACGUCUCACUUUGUCACCCAGGCCGGAGGGCGGUGGCGCCAUCUCGGCUCAUUGCAA